rnacentral:rRNA from 1 species
GACGAACGCUGGCGGCGUGCUUAACACAUGCAAGUCGAACGGAAAGGCCCUGCUUUUGUGGGGUGCUCGAGUGGCGAACGGGUGAGUAACACGCGAGUAACCUGCCCUUGACUUUGGGAUAACUUCAGGAAACUGGGGCUAAUACCGGAUAGGAGCUCCUGCUGCAUGGUGGGGGUUGGAAAGUUUCGGCGGUUGGGGAUGGACUCGCGGCUUAUCAGCUUGUUGGUGGGGUAGUGGCUUACCAAGGCUUUGACGGGUAGCCGGCCUGAGAGGGUGACCGGCCACAUUGGGACUGAGAUACGGCCCAGACUCCUACGGGAGGCAGCAGUGGGGAAUAUUGCACAAUGGGCGGAAGCCUGAUGCAGCAACGCCGCGUGCGGGAUGACGGCCUUCGGGUUGUAAACCGCUUUCGCCUGUGACGAAGCGUGAGUGACGGUAAUGGGUAAGGAAGCACCGGCUAACUACGUG